rnacentral:rRNA from 1 species
GGAUUAGGUCAUGCAAGUCGAACGAGGGAAUAUUCUUCGGAAUAUAAAUCGAGUGGCGAAAGGGUGAGUAAUGCAUAGAUGACAUACCUUUAGGAUAAGGACAACUUUGUGAAGAUGAAGCUAAUACUUAAUAACACAAAAGAAAAUAAUUUUCAUUUGUCAAAUGGAGGGUAGCAAUAUCUUUCGCCUAAAGAGGGAUUUAUGUCCUAUCAGCUUGUUGGUGGGGUAAUGGCCUACCAAGGCGAAGACGGGUAGCCGGCCUUAGAGGGUGGUCGGCCACACUGGGACUGAGACACUGCCCAGACUUCUACGGAAGGCUGCAGUCGAGAAUGCUUUCGCAAUUCCCGAAAGG